rnacentral:rRNA from 1 species
UACGAAGGGGGCUAGCGUUGUUCGGAAUCACUGGGCGUAAAGCGCACGUAGGCGGAUUGUUAAGUCGGGGGUGAAAUCCUGAGGCUCAACCUCAGAACUGCCUUCGAUACUGGCAAUCUCGAGUCCGGAAGAGGUUGGUGGAACAGCUAGUGUAGAGGUGAAAUUCGUAGAUAUUAGCUAGAACACCAGUGGCGAAGGCGGCCAACUGGUCCGGUACUGACGCUGAGGUGCGAAAGCGUGGGGGAGCAAACAGG